rnacentral:rRNA from 1 species
UACGUAGGUUGCGAGCGUUGUCCGGAUUUACUGGGCGUAAAGCGCGCGCAGGCGGUCCUGUAAGUCCAUGGUGAAAGCUCCCGGCCCAACUGGGAGAGGCCCGUGGAAACUACAGGACUUGAAGGCGGGAGAGGCAGAUGGAAUUUCCGGUGUAGCGGUAAAAUGCGUAGAUACCGGAAGGAACACCAGUGGCGAAAGCGAUCUGCUGGCCCGCCCUUGACGCUCAGGCGCGAAAGCUAGGGGAGCGAACGGG